rnacentral:lncRNA from 13 species
AUGUCUGUGAUGCAUUACGACCCUGAAAUGCCAGUGAAGUUGGCUUGUGAUGCGUCCCCUUAUGGAUUAGGGGCAGUCCUUUCACACACACUGAAAGAUGGGUCAGAGAGGCCAGUUGCAUUUGCGUCACGAACAUUGAAUGAUGCAGAGAAAAACUACUCACAAAUCGACAAAGAAGCACUGGCACUAGUGUGGGGCGUCAAGAAAUUCCACGCAUACCUAUAUGGCAAGCGUUUCACACUGGUUACAGAUCACCAGCCGUUGCUUUCCAUUUUCAGUCCAAAGAAAGGCAUUCCGGCAAUGACAGCAGCCAGGUUACAGCGAUAUGCCCUGUUCCUUGCCAGUCAUAUGUAUGACAUUGAGUUUAAGCCGUCAUCCCUCCACACAAAUGCAGAUGGAUUAUCCAGACUGCCGUGUACAAGAGAAAGACAAAGGAGGGUGGAUGCAGUGGACAUGUUCCAUACCGCUCAGCUCGAGGCCCUACCGGUCACAAGCACAGUUAUCAAACAGGAGACAAGGAAAGAUGUGACCUUGUCAAAAGUGUACACCUACACCAUGUCAGGAUGGCCAGCUACUGGCAGAAAGGAGCUGACUCCGUAUUUCCAGCGGAGAAACGAAAUUACAACGUACCAAGGAUGUUUGAUGUGGGGAAUGAGAGUCAUGAUACCCCAGAAAUGCCAACAUUUAGUCUUGCAGCAACUACAUGAAGGUCAUGUUGGAAUUGUCAAAAUGAAGCUGCUCGCAAGGAGCCACUUUUGGUGGCCAGGUCUGGACCAACAGAUAGAAAAUAUGGCAAAGAACUGUAGUGGAUGUUUGGAAACCCUUCACAUGCCUGCUCCUGUCCCAGUCCACCCAUGGGAAUGGCCCGCAGAGCCAUGGCAGAGAAUUAAUGUGGACUACGCUGGUCCUUUUGAAAAGCACAUGUUUCUGGUUAUAGUUGAUGCCCAUUCCAAAUGGCCAGAGGUGUUUUGCACUGACUCCUCCACCUCAGCUCAGACGAUAGAUUGUCUCAGAACAACGUUUGUACGCUUCGGUUUGCCACUGCAGCUGGUAAGUGACAACGCGCAAGCUUUCGUAAGUGACGAGUUUACAAGAUUCAUGUCAGUAAAUGGAAUCAAACACUCAACCUCAGCUCCGUACCACCCUGCCACCAAUGGGCUGGCAGAACGCUUUGUGCAAACCCUAAAGCAAGGACUCCGUGCAGCAAAACGAGACGAAGGGACUUUGCAAACAAAACUGGCCAAGUUCCUGGCCUCCUACCGAAACACCCCACAUGCCACGACAAAUGAAAGCCCAGCCGCACUGAUGUUCGGGAGGCCUCUCCGCACACGGCUGGACAUCAUGAAGCCAAACAGGCGUAAUGAAGUGCUGAACAAACAAGCCAAGAUGCUCUCCGGUGGCCGGGAGCGCCAUCUCCAAACAGGACAGGAAGUGAUGGUGCGAGACUACAGAAUAGGAGGGAAAUGGACAAGAGGGACCGUACACACACAAACGGGACCCAGAACUUACCAGGUUCAAGUGAGCCCAGACAUAAUGUUGGGGCGUCACAUUAAUCAAAUGCAUUCCAGGGAAAACAGCACAACAAUUGAGAGAGAACAGGCACAGAGAGCUCCUGAGAGUGACACACAAGGAACUGUAGAGGACGGUGGGGCAGUAGAGAGACCCCAGGCUGAAAGAAGGGAACGUGUUGAUGAAGGUGCUGCUAUAGCAGACGCUAUAAUGGAACAAGCACACACUGAGGAUGUUCAGGAGCCUCCAGACAAUCUGAGGCGCUACCCAGAACGAAGGCACCGUCCACCAGACAGACUAGACUUAUAA